rnacentral:rRNA from 1 species
GACGAACGCUGGCGGCGUGCUUAACACAUGCAAGUCGAACGGAAAGGCCCUGCUUUUGUGCGGUUCUCGAUUGCCGAACGGGUGAGUAACACGUGAGUAACCUGCCCUUGACUUUGGGAUAACUUCAGGAAACUGGGGCUAAUACCGUAUAGGAUCUCCUGCUGCAUGGUGGGGGUUGGAAAGUUUCGGCUGUUGGGGAUGGACUGGCGGCUUAUCAGCUUGUUGGUGGGGGAGUGGCUUACCAAGGCUUUGACGGGUAGCCGGCAUGGGAGGGUGGCCGGCCACAUUGGGACUGAGAUAGGGACCAGUCUCCUACGGGAGGCAGCAGUGGGGAAUAUUGCACAAUGGGAGGAAGCCUGAUGAAGCAACGCCGCGGGCGGGAUGACGGCCUUCGGGUUAUAAACCGCUUUCGCCUGUGACGAAGCGUGAGUGACGGUAAUGGGUAAAGAAGCACCGGCUAACUACGUG